rnacentral:rRNA from 1 species
ACUGCUCAGUAACACGUGGACAACCUGCCCUUAGGACGGGGAUAAACCCGGGAAACUGGGUAUAAUACCCGAUAGGUCUCGAUUGCUGGAAUGCAUCGAGAUUUAAAGCUCCGGCGCCUAAGGAUGGGUCUGCGGCCUAUCAGGUAGUAGUGGGUGUAGUGUACCUACUAGCCUACGACGGGUACGGGUUGUGAGAGCAAGAGCCCGGAGAUGGAUUCUGAGACACGAAUCCAGGCCCUACGGGGUGCAGCAGGCGCGAAAACUUUACAAUGCUGGCAACAGCGAUAAGGGAACCUCGAGUGCCAGGUUAUAAAUCUGGCUGUCGAGAUGCCUAAAAAGCAUUUCAUAGCAAGGGCCGGGCAAGACCGGUGCCAGCCGCCGCGGUAACACCGGCGGCUCGAGUGGUAACCGUUAUUAUUGGGUCUAAAGGGUCUGUAGCCGGCCGGAUAAGGCUCUUGAGAAAUCUGGCAGCUUAACUGUCAGGCUUUCAGGAGAUACUGUCUGGCUCGAGGCCGGGAGAGGUGAGAGGUACUUCAGGGGUAGGGGUGAAAUCUUGUAAUCCUUGAAGGACCACCAGUGGCGAAGGCGUCUCACCAGAACGGACCUGACGGCAAGGGACGAAAGCUAGGGGCACGAACCGGAUUAGAUACCCGGGUAGUCCUAGCCGUAAACGAUACUCGCUAGGUGUCGGCCACGGUGCGACCGUUGUCGGUGCCGUAGGGAAGCCGUGAAGCGAGCCACCUGGGAAGUACGGCCGCAAGGCUGAAACUUAAAGGAAUUGGCGGGGGAGCAC